UACGUAGGGUGCGAGCGUUGUCCGGAAUUAUUGGGCGUAAAGAGCUCGUAGGCGGCUUGUCGCGUCGGAUGUGAAAGCCCGGGGCUUAACUCCGGGUCUGCAUUCGAUACGGGCAGGCUAGAGUUCGGCAGGGGAGAUCGGAAUUCCUGGUGUAGCGGUGAAAUGCGCAGAUAUCAGGAGGAACACCGGUGGCGAAGGCGGAUCUCUGGGCCGUGACUGACGCUGAGGAGCGAAAGCGUGGGGAGCGAACAGG
rnacentral:rRNA from 1 species